rnacentral:rRNA from 1 species
UAGGGAAUCUUCCACAAUGGGCGAAAGCCUGAUGGAGCAACGCCGCGUGUGUGAUGAGGGGUUUCGGCUCGUAAAACACCGUUGUAAGAGAAGAAUGACAUUGAGAGUAACUGUUCAAUGUGUGACGGUAUCUUACCAGAAAGGAACGGCUAAAUACGUGCCAG